CUCUGAGUAAUAGCUUAUUGUUGGACACAUGUGAGACCCAAUAAUCUAUCAAAAGUCAUAAAAGUAAGUAUUCUGAGUUCCUAGAGGAAAUUACCAGUAGGUAAGAGAUACACAUAGAAAUAAUUGAAUCAGAGUUUUAAAAAGCACAUAGAAUAAGAAGAUAAUUAUUUGUGUGUGAAAUAGAUAUAUUGACCAGUCAAAAGUCGCAAGGAUCUAAAAAUAAGCAUUAUUUAUGGCCGUAUACAUGUGAGAUAUAAAUAAUGUGUCAGGAUCCAUACGAAUAACUAUUCUUCAAUUCUAGAUUAAGUAUGAUAACAGUAGAGCACACACAUAGAUUGUGAGAUUUAACUAUAAUAACAGAUUAUAGAAACACACACAUAGAUUGUGAGAAUUGGAGCUAAUAUUGAGACUUAAACGAUAACUGGUCAAUAAUAUAUUAGGCGGAAAACAUAAUAUAGAAGGCGAGAUAUAUAUAUAUUUUUUGAAUUAUAAGAAAGUAGGUCAGGGACAUAAUUUGUAUGAAUAUAGAUCGCCUGUCGAAAUACAUUUUAGAGGGGAUAAUCGAGAUCUACCGGAGGCGUGCAAAAUAGGUCUGAUUAUUCCAAACAGGAGGAAGGAGGUUACACCCAUAGAAAGUGAGAAUACAUAUAAGAAAAUAAAUAAAUAUAGUAAUUAAGUAACCAUGGGUGGCAAAUCCUCAAAGGGGGUGCAGGAAUUAACUGGAGAUGAGCGUUAUAUGGAAUUAAAAGAUAAAAGAAAAAUGAUUUCGGUCCAAUGUGGAGAAGGAAGUAUGAAUUUGAUGGAAGUUUGGACGUAGAAAAGUUGGGACUAAUGAUAAGAAAGAUACAUAAGGUAUGUGGGGACAAGACAGGGAAACAGCAUGUCGAGGGUUAGACAUAGCCAGGGUGUGGCUGUCUGAAGUCCGGAGAAGAAGGCAAGAAGGCAAGUGUAGAGAAAGAGAGAGAGAGUGUUUGAAGAAGGAUAUCAGCAGGGGAAAAAAUGAUGUGCGUGUGAGAGGUUUAUUGACCAGUUAAAAGUCAUAAGAAGCGGUGACUCGUAUAUGUGUGAGACCUAAUAACUUAUCAAAAGUCACAAUAGUAAUUAUUCCUAAAUUCUGAGAAGGAGAAAAAGUGAGACAGAGACAACGAGGAAGCGAGCAGAGGAUGAAAAGAAAAAGGAAGUUACUAAGAAAGUUGAAAAGGUAUUCCAGAAAGGGGAAGCUCUUACACUGAAAGCAGAUUGACUUAAGGGAAUUAUACAGUCAUCUCUCACGGCGGACCUUGUGGAUCUGCGGCCAUAAGGUUUGGGUUUUCCGUCUAACAAAAGUUCUGAGUGGAGGGGAAGCCUGAACAUUUAGAAUCCUGUAUACAAGACAUGCAUCAGUGUAUUGCCUAAGAUACUUUCUUUCAAUUCAGGAGUUCAUGCUUUUUGAGAAUGUAACAGUGACGAGGGCUAUGGGGCUUCCUAUCAAGGACUUUGAGAGACUAUUUACAGACUGAAUGGGUUUUAAUGUUGUAAAGCAAGCGUGGGUCAAAUUAUUCAAGUAGUAUAUUAAGUAGGGGAGGUUCAUAGAUUUGAAGUACGAUGAAAUUAUCAUUAUUAUUAGGUUUUGUUUGUAGUCAACGUGUGGGUUUCUGAAUUGGUAUAGUAUAAUGAAUGCUGACCAAGUGGUGGUGUUUUUUUUCUCUGGGAAAAUAAGUGUUUCAUUGUCUCUUUUUGGAAGGUUUCCUAGGGCUAUAAUCUUGGAGGGAGCAAGUGAGAUAGAGGCAUAUUUCUACCAAAUUGAAAAAGGCCUGGAAAUGUUUUGUUUGUUUUUAACUAGGGUUAGCAAAUACCCACACACAACAAAUAGUGUAUAACUAUUUGUUGGUGUUUUUAAAAUACUAUGUUUGGGUUUGGCGAGAUUUCCAUUUGCUGAAGGGCCACGAUAUCUUAAAGGGGCAUGCACACAUAUGGAAUUUUAGAAGUUUUAUUUUCUGAGUUUUAAUUAAAUAUGUGAUAAGGGAAUGUUCUGGGAACCUGGGAUCCAACAUGUAGAAAAUGUGUGAUGGCUUUUGCUUUAAUUUGUCUAAUAUAACAAGAAACACUGUUUUGAAAGGGUGGUAUGACUUUUGACCUCUAUCAUGGCACUCCUUUGUGGUCUGAUCAGCCUCAUGGGAGGGCCAUUUGGAUGAUGAAUUUAAGGUCAUUUGUAAUACUGGUUUUAAGGUAAUUUGUGUAAAUGAUAAUUAUGAUGGAGUUUAUAGUUCUUUGACAUAUUUGUAAUUUCAACCGAUGAGAAUAAAGUGAUAGAGCCAUAGAGAGAGCAGAGAGAAAGUUUAAAGCUAGACACAGGGAUACCGGAGAUGUUUUGGUUAAAAUGAGUGACAGAUGUGGGAUUUAUUAAAGCAAUUUUACCUGAAACUGUUACUCAUAAAUAUAUUUGAGAUUGACGGAUUUGGGAAAGAAAAGAUACGUAAGAAAGAUAGAGAGAAAGGCAGAAGGAGAAGGGCUCCCCCGCACUAGUAGGAACAGGAGGGGGGCCAGGAGGAGCGCAAGAUAGAGAGCAGAAGGUAAGAAUCUCAUAAUAAGCCAGGAUUGAGAGAAGAUAGAAGUGAUACAGAAUGGUUAGAUAACAGUUACUGAGUGGAGAGCAGCAUAGUUAAGUUAUAGGCAGGUAUAGAUGAAAACUGAAGUGUAGAAGCGAGAACUUAACCUGGGGUCCACUCAGACGUGGGGCCCGAUUAAUGACAGGAUGAUUUAUUUUUAACUUAGGCACAGGAAGAAGAGUUAGAAGCGGUACCCUCCGUGUUAUGGUCCCAAGGACCCGUUGAUGUGGGGUUAAUUAAAGGAGGUAAAGCUAUGACAGCCAGAGAUAAGAUAGAAUGGAAUUAGGAAAGCGGAUGUGGGAGCGAAACAGGCAGGUCUUAAACAGCAGGAGUCAACACAGCAGUUCUUAAAAGAGGAAGUAAACAUAGACAAAGCUAUAUUAAAAUUGUCAGUCUAGAGCACCAGUGAAAGAGAUUUCGAAAUGGGAGAAGUUAGGAGCAAUUUAUAUAAGGACGGUAUUUGGUAUCAUGAUAAGUAACCAAUACUACCUAAGUCAUUGUUUAGAUAUGCGGCAAGGUUGAUACAUGGGCAGAGCCAUGUGUCAACAGGGGGAUAGUAGAGCAGGUGGUAGAGCAGGUUAGGAAACACUUUGUGGCCUAUUGGAUAAUAAAGUACAAUUUUUUUUUAUAUAAUAGAUAAGUAUAUUAAAUGGGAAGAAGCGUUCCCAACUUACUGGGAGGAUACGAUUAGGGUAGCUAAAAUAUUAGGUCCAGAUAUUAUCCCUAGAGUUGGUUUACUAGGAUCUAUCUCUUUAAAUGAUGGAUUACAUUUUAGCUGAUCAGGUAAACCAUAUAGAAUGCCAGAGGUAGUGAGACCAGAACAGGUAGACAUAGAAGUUGAAGAUAUGCUAACAGAACACAUGAGAAGACUGUUUGUUAACCAAACCCGUAUGUCUGAGAUUUUGUGUCCAACAGGUGAAUUACAGGAGAAGGUGAUUCACUCAAUCCAACCAGGAGACUGGGUGUGGAUCCAGUCCCUGUGGAGAAAAGAACUGGAAGCAGCCAUGGUGGGAGGGGCCAUACCAAGUGCUCCUGGUAACAGCCUUCGUGGUGAGAAUAGCUGAAAGAGCUACCUGGGUUCAUAUCACACAUUGUGGGAGGGUAAGACACACUGACACUGUCGAACAAUCACAGAGUUAGGAGAAGAACCGAAUACCAAUAAGGUUCGGGGGUUACCUCUCUAACGAAGAUUCCCUAACCCGCCCGAUCCUCACUGUGUGCGUUCAUAGAAGUGAAAGUGUGGGUUUGCCUCUAGCCAGUGCUAUGUUCUCCGGGAGGGGGUGGGGCUUUACAGCGGUACUGGUCAGUCUGAGCUGUCUGAUUGUGGGAGCCAUAUUCCUAAAUACACCAUGAACCACUCGAGAAGUCAGAAAGUGGUAACUUGACCCAUAGUGUAGAAGAUGAGGAUUUUUUAUGGCCUAGGUACAAAAGGUCACUCGAUCUGGAUAAAAAGGAAGUGAGAGUAGAGUUAGGGAAGGAUGUCUCAAUAGAGUUCUAUGCAGACCAAAUGGGGUCCCUAACCUCCUGGCAGUCUAGGACUCUGACUUCAUGGGGAAGAUAUCUGUGUAGAUCCCUGUGUAACUUAUGGACUCAGGUCAUAGCUCACACAGGGAGAGAAGGCUAUGUCAAUCCACACACCCAA